UUAAUCAAUUGCUCCUGAAGUCUUUAUUAAAAUUUAUGUUUCUUAGAACUACCUAUAUUUAAAAUGUUUUUGUCCAUCAUCUCAGGUUCCACAUUUGAAAGAUUUUCUCACAUUUACACUUUCAUAUUGUGACUUGGCUUAAGAGAGCAACCAUCUAAACCUGAAAUUGUAAGCAAAGCACUGUUUCUCGAAACAGAGCAGCUAAAAAAGUUGGGUGACUGCAUUUCAGAAGACAGUUAUCCAGAUGGCAAUAUCACAUGGUACAGGAAUGGAAAAGUGCUACAUCCCCUUGAAGGAGCGGUGGUCAUAAUUUUUAAAAAGGAAAUGGACCCAGUGACUCAGCUCUAUACCAUGACUUCCACCCUGGAGUACAAGACAACCAAGGCUGACAUACAAAUGCCAUUCACCUGCUCGGUGACAUAUUAUGGACCAUCUGGCCAGAAAACAAUUCAUUCUGAACAGGCAGUAUUUGAUAUUUACUAUCCUACAGAGCAGGUGACAAUACAAGUGCUGCCACCAAAAAAUGCCAUCAAAGAAGGGGAUAACAUCACUCUUAAAUGCUUA
rnacentral:lncRNA from 1 species